rnacentral:rRNA from 1 species
UACGUAGGUGGCUAGCGUUGUCCGGAUUUACUGGGCGUAAAGAGCGCGCAGGCGGUCGUUCAAGUCGAGUGUGAAAGCCCCCGGCUCAACUGGGGAGGGUCACUCGAUACUGGUCGACUCGAAGGCAGGAGAGGGAAGCGGAAUUCCCGGUGUAGUGGUGAAAUGCGUAGAUAUCGGGAGGAACACCAGUGGCGAAGGCGGCUUUCUGGCUCACAACUGACGCUGUAGCGCGAAAGCGUGGGGAGCGAACGGG